AUUGAACGCUGGCGGCAUGCUUUACACAUGCAAGUCGAACGGCAGCGCGGGCUUCGGCCUGGCGGCGAGUGGCGAACGGGUGAGUAAUACAUCGGAACGUGCCCAGUAGUGAGGGAUAGCUCGGCGAAAGCCGGAUUAAUACCGCAUACGACCUGAGGGUGAAAGCGGGGGAUCUUCGGACCUCGCGCUAUUGGAGCGGCCGAUGGCAGAUUAGCUAGUUGGUGGGGUAAAGGCCUACCAAGGCGACGAUCUGUAGCUGGUCUGAGAGGACGACCAGCCACACUGGGACUGAGACACGGCCCAGACUCCUACGGGAGGCAGCAGUGGGGAAUUUUGGACAAUGGGCGAAAGCCUGAUCCAGCAAUGCCGCGUGUGUGAUGAAGGCCUUCGGGUUGUAAAGCACUUUUGGCGGGAAUGAAAAGGACUGUGCCAAUACCACGGUUCGAUGACGGUACCCGCAGAAUAAGCACCGGCUAACUACGUG
rnacentral:rRNA from 1 species